UUGAGUUUCUUCUGGUUCCAGUGGUGCCUGCCUCGUGCCUUGUGUCCUGUGGGGCCCUGGAGGUGCCAGUGAUGGUUUCCAGGGUCCCAAACGGACAGCAGCUGUGCCCUCAUCAUGUUGUUCCUGCCACAACAAAGCUCCUGGUUGGCAAGAACACUUAAGGCACAGGAUGUGCAAAGAUGAACUACGGUUAGUCUCUGCCUCAAGCAGGGGUGUUCUCCAGAUAAAAAAGGAUGUGAAAGUAAAUGCCAAGUCUUUGGCUGGGCAGCCACAACACGGUGAAGUGGAAGGAACUGGGGCUUUAAUGUGGACAUCCAUAUGCUCAAAUCCCAGCUCUGUGACCUUGGGAAGACCAUGUGAAGAGAACACCAGAGGAGAGGAGAGGCAGAGAUUGGAGUGCCAUGACUGCAAGUCUAGGAAGGCCGUGGAGUGCUAACCACCACCAGAAGCUGGGAAGAGGCAUGGAAGGAUUCUACAGGUUUUGGAGGGAGAGUGGGGUUGUAGGCAUCUGAGGGUGGACUUCUAACCUGCAGAACUGUGAGGCAAUACGUUACUGUUGUUUCCAGCCACCCAGUUUGUGGUGCUUUGUCAUGGUGGCCCAUGGGAAACUAAUAAGGUAUGAAACAAGUAGAUAUUUAAUCUGUAUCUUCAAAGUUCAGAAAUUGAACCCAUCAACUUCCUCAUUUCUCUGGCACCAACAAUUUAGUAUAGGACGUGGCUGAUGCAGCAAGUCUAUCACAGGAGUGCGAGGAUGGAUGGCUGUGGCUGGGAGCAGGGCCCCGCAGCUGCUGGAAACAGUCUUCCCUUGACCUUGGGUCUGGAUGCCCAGUCCACUGCUUGCUCCACUGGGACAGUAAUGACAGGUACGAGUGAGCUCCCUGGUUGUGAGCCUGGGCUUUGGAGUCUCCCCACCUCGGUUUCCUUGCUUGUGGUUUUUCGCCUAGUCUA